GUUCGCAGGAUCUAGUCUCUUCCAGAUACCCCCCUCUGACCCACUCAAGAUUCAGACGUUCGAACGACAGGCAAAGCCACGGGACCCGAAUCCACCCCACCAAGGCUUUGACCAUCCCCUAUCUUCAACCAUUCGAGUGGACAGUUGCUCGCCUGAAGCACACACUAGGAAGGGUCUUGGAGCUGCCUCAAGCUGAGGACAUAACCUCAUCACUCGGAGAACUAAGGUUACAUAUGUAACCCACUUCUGCAAGGACAGUUUUGAGUGCUGCCGUGCAGAAGAGAAUGCUGUCAUUUAAGUGUGAAAUCAUUGCGACCUUCCUACACUCCAUUCACCUCCAGUUAACAUCCAGUCUCAGCAGUCAUCAGAAGUCUACUCCUUAUCAUAUCCAGAUCUUCAGCCAUCCUUUCAACAUCACCACUAGUGUCUAGACUCGACCAAGGGGAUGUCCUGUACUUCUCAAGGAUUCACUACCCCUCAAAAUACAAUGACGUCACGAUGGGGUAUAAUCGCCAAAGACUCUUCACAUUUCUCAUCUUUGUUGUGCAAAUAAAAUAUUUGUUCACUCAUA